AAUAUAGAACUGAACAAAUUGUCCAAUGAAUAAAUAUAAAGAAUUGGUUCUAUAGUUCAAUAAGCAAUCUUAUGGUGCAGGAAAGCAUGAAAUAUGACAAAAAUAAUCACCUUUUCUCCUUCGCUCCACUUUUGUCUUGUGGAAGUCCAGCUGUACUCAAAUGUAACUCAGCCAUGGGAUCAAUGAAAAGAUAAUAUUUUCUAUCAUUUAUGUCUUUCAGGCAAUGCAUGUUAGGUACUGAAUGUUUUGCUAACUAUCCUUCUUCUACAGAGCAGAUCUACAAUCAAAUCUGAACUGAUAACAGGUUAUAUGUGAAUUAUUAGAACUUUCACCAGUUUUCUUGUUACUUAUAGGUUUUGUGGUGUGAUUCCUUUUGCACAGGGUUUUUAGUGAAUGAACCAGCACUGUGGUUAUGCUUUCUGAUUUCAUGUGGGAGGUCUUUACAUGUUUCAUGUAAUUAGUAAAAAUCUAAACUUGUGCUAUGACUAUACUGAAUGAAAAUUAUGUUAUUUUCAGGUUGUAAAGCAGGACAAUGAAUUAGAAGACUUGAAAAGUCAACUUGCUGAACUGCAGCAAAAGUUUCAUUCAUUGAGCAGUGUGGAUGAAAAAUUACAGACUUUAGAGAAGAAACUGCAAGGGAAAAUUGUUAUAGAAGAGAAUGAGUGGAAUAAUCUUUUGAGCCGCGUCCUCCUCCUUGAAACACAAUUGUUUCUUCAUUCCAAAACAGCUGAUUUAUCUACAGAAUUAAACAAUGUGAGUGAAGAAGAUUAUUCUAGCAGAAACACAACUCCAUCUUCUUUUGAUAAAGAGAAAGUAGAAUUGCCAGACAGUCCUCAACAGUCAUCUGGAUAUAGUUCAUCUGUAUCAGCAGAUCCAUCUCCCAAAGCCCUGGCUAUUAAUGAUGAUGUUGUGUCAGAGGUUUCAAAGGAAACAGCAAUUCAAAAAAUGGAAAGAAUAAGCAAAAUGUAAGUAAGAUACAGUAUUAUUUUUUAGCAAAUAAGAUUUGAAAUGUAGAUACAGAAUACAGAAAACAAUUUAAUGGACCUUAAAUAACAGUGUCACAUUCUGGCGUUUAUCAGACAAGAAAAGUAGAAGACAAAGUUAAUUGAGCACUUUUUAUCUUGCAAGCUGGAAAUCCAGACAAAUGUUUCAAAGUUUAAUAGCAUUUGUAUGCCGCCCAAUCCCAUGGGACUCCGGGUGGCUAACAAUA